GACGAACGCUGGCGGCGUGCUUAACACAUGCCAGUCGAACGGAAAGGCCCUGCUUUUGUGGGGUGCUCGAGUGGCGAACGGGUGAGUAACACGUGAGUAACCUGCCCUUGACUUUGGGAUAACUUCAGGAAACUGGGGCUAAUACCGGAUAGGAGCUCCUGCUGCAUGGUGGGGGUUGGAAAGUUUCGGCGGUUGGGGAUGGACUCGCGGCUUAUCAGCUUGUUGGUGGGGUAGUGGCUUACCAAGGCUUUGACGGGUAGCCGGCCUGAGAGGGUGACCGGCCACAUUGGGACUGAGAUACGGCCCAGACUCCUACGGGAGGCAGCAGUGGGGAAUAUGGCACAAUGGGCGGAAGCGUGAGGCAGCAACGCCGCGUGCGGGAUGACGGCCUUCGGGUUGUAAACCGCUUUCGCUUGUGACGAAGCGUGAGUGACGGUAAUGGGUAAAGAAGCACCGGCUAACUACGUG
rnacentral:rRNA from 1 species